rnacentral:misc_RNA from 1 species
GAUGAAGAACGUAGCGAAAUGCAAUAAGUAGUGUGAAUUGCAGAAUUCAGUGAAUCAUCGAAUCUUUGAACGCACAUUGCGCCCCUUGGUAUUCCAUGGGGCAUGCCUGUUCGAGCGUCAUUUGUACCUUCAAGCUCUGCUUGGUGUUGGGUGUUUGUCUCGCCUCUGCGUGUAGACUCGCCUCAAAACAAUUGGCAGCCGGCGUAUUGAUUUCGGAGCGCAGUACAUCUCGCGCUUUGCACUCAUAACGACGACGUCCAAAAGUACAUUUUUACACUCUUGACCUCGGAUCAGGUAGGGAUACCCGCUGAACUUAAGCAUAUCAAUAAGCGGAGGA